rnacentral:rRNA from 1 species
UCAGCUUUAGACGGUAGGGUAUUGGCCUACCGKGGCUAUGACGGGUAACGGGGAAUUAGGGUUCGAUUCCGGAGAGGGAGCCUGAGAAACGGCUACCACAUCUAAGGAAGGCAGCAGGCGCGCAAAUUACCCAAUCCUAAUACAGGGAGGUAGUGACAAGAAAUAACAAUACAGGACUUUACGGUUUUGUAAUUGGAAUGAGUUAAGUAUAAACCCCUUUACAAGUAUCAAUUGGAGGGCAAGUCUGGUGCCAGCAGCCGCGGUAAUUCCAGCUCCAAUAGCGUAUAUUAAAGUUGUUGCAGUUAAAAAGCUCGWAGUUGGAUUUCUGUUAAUACCUUAUAUAUAAUAUUUUUUUUUAAAUAUUWUUAUGUAAGAUUAACAUAAUUCAUAUUUUUUAAGACUGAAUUUUUAGUUUUGAUAAUAUGAAAUUUUACUUUGAGAAAAUUAGAGUGCUUAAAGCAGGCUUUUGCCUUGAAUACUCCAGCAUGGAAUAAUAAUAAAAGAUUUUUAUCUUUUUUUUAUUGGUUCUAAGAUAAAAAUAAUGAUUAAUAGGGACAGUUGGGGGCAUUUGUAUUUAACAGUCAGAGGUGAUAUUCUUAGAUUUGUUAAAGACAAACUAAUGCGAAAGCAUUUGCCAAGGAUGUUUUCAUUAAUCAAGAACGAAAGUUAGGGGAUCGAAGACGAUCAGAUAC